UCAAUGUUUGCAAAGAAACAAGGGCCACUGACUGGAUCAGCAUUACUGGGACACAGAGAUGGACCCAGUCUGUUCAGUUCUAGUCUGAAAUCUAAAUACAUGUCACCAGUCAAAAUGGCUAAUAUACCACAGAAAGAGACAAUAAAAGACAGAGGUACACACCCAGACGACCCUAGGGUAUGAUAUGGGAUCUGUGUGUUGCUCUGUGGGGAAAUAUGCCAGAGUUUGAAGAUAUGGAAAUAGAAAGAGACGCCUACCUGUAACACAAAGCAAGGAGAGAGGCAUUUUCAAGAUGGCUGUCAUCUGUAUCAGGGGAGAUAAUCAUAAAAGAAGUCCAAGAAAACAAAUACAAGAUCGGAUAAGCAAAAUAUGGCUACACCGAUAAAAAAGAGAAAAUUGUUUGGAUGCAUACGCUGAAGAGAAUGGAAAUUGGUCUGCUGGUUGCUACUUUGAGCUGGCAUUUAAGCCAAGUGUUGCAGAGUCUCUCUUACAAUCACCUGUCAGCGUACCACAUAGCAAACUACACAUGAACUUUGCUGCACAUCAACAGUCUCUCAAUCUCUGGGAAUGUGCAGUAUUUGUGGCAUUGCAUAUCAGUUGUGAGUCAGCUGUACAAAGUAUACACGAUCGGCACAUUCAGCUUUCAUCAUCAGAGUCGUACCAAGGGAAGGAAGAAUUAUUGAAUGAAAGGCUGUUUGUACCUGUUGAAUGGAUACAUAAUACUAAGUGCGGAGAAGAGGGGAAGUUCAGCAGAAAUUCCACCCCCAAGGAGAUUAGCCCCACCCACAUUAACCCAUCAUCCACCAAGAAGAGGAUGUGGAAAUUUGUUAUCGUCUAAGCCCAUUGAACAGUUCAAUCAGACAUACACUUGAUGGUGAGCUGCAAUAAAACCAAAUAAACUGAUCUCAUGUUGACAGAAUAUAACAUUGCUGAACAAUUUAGACUCUGAUAUUCCUGUGUGAUCCAAUUAUUGAAAUUAGUAAGAGAGAUUAUUCAAAUUUAGACUAUAAAAUAAAAAGGAGUGUUUUAGGUGAAGAGUUUUAUCACUCAAAAACUCCUUCACCAGUUGGACUAGACAAAAUAAAGGAAGACAAUUUUAUUGGGCAGACAAGAAAUUCUGACAUACAGACACCGAAAGGAAUCUUUCAAUGUUGAUUGUCUACAGUUGUACGGAAGGGGCAACGAUGGCAGUCAUUUGAUGAUGAAUUUGUUGAAUAUGACCUCAGAAACAGGAACAUCCUGAAAGCAGAGAAAGCAAGAGGCUAGAUAAUUUUUUCCAAGUGUGACAAGCCAUGGGUGGUCUAUUCUGCUGUUAAGAGGACUUUGGAACAGAGUUAAACAUUUCCUGCAGCAGCUUAGGACAGUACAGUUUGUGAGUUAACAGAUCAGGGUGAGCCUCAGUGUUUCCUGGUGUACUGUACUCAUCCGCCAACUUAGGACAGCUGUUUAGUGAUCGCAGAGGUGCGACACCCGUUUCAGAGCCAUUUACAUCAUUUAGUGAGGAUUCCUGUGUAUGACAGUACUGAACCUGAGGAAUUUCACACAUUUUUGAGCAGAGACCAGUGCAAUGUGUGAAGUAACAGUAAAGCAGGAUAGCUACAGACCAUGAAGUGGAGAAAUGAAGAGAUGCAGUCUAGAUUGAUAAACAUAGUGUGUGUAGGAAACAUAGUGGAUAUAAAUCAUUGAAAUCAUGUGACAAGUCUAUAGGACAGAGAUGUGUGUAUCAGUCUGUGAGGCUUUCACAUCACUUCCCAGUCGACAGAUUGGCAAUGGAUGCGUAGAUUCUCAAAUAACUUGGCAUGACUUUUCACAGUUACAAAGACAGAUUGCAAAAGAUUUUAGAGAAAUAUAUAAGGUAGAGCUCUGCAGUGUGUCACAUGUUUUUGCACAGAUUUGUGUUCCACAUGUAUGGCCUUGAAGGAAUUGUUAUAGGAAAUGGGUAAAAGAGAUACAUGUGAAAAAGAAAAGAAAUGACCUCGGGAAAGACAAGAUACAGCAGGUACAAGUUCUUAAGACAUUCAUUGAAACAUCAGAGUUCAGCAGCUUCUUGGAACAGGUACAUGUAUAUACUGUGGUUACAGAUUUGCAGUAUCAGCCAGCAUCCCCAGACAUUCUAAAUAUAGGACCAACACAAUCAGACAAGUUGGCAAGAUGAUUUUACGUUCAAGAGUGGUGACAUUCUGCCCAAGAUUCUAGUCUGGAGAUACCAUCAGCUGAUCUUAGAAUCUUUUUUAAGAUUUAAGUUUAAAAAUGUGACAUUGACUUAAGACUACAUGUAUACUGCUUUCAGUCAAAGGCUUUUCUCUGUUUUGUUUUUUUAUCAACACAUUAAGAUCUGGAAAAUAACUGUAUUGGAGACAAGUUUGUAUGACAAAAUGAAAUAAAGAUUUUUAUGUUAAAAAUAUUUUUUUUAUAUAUAUUAAAUACUUAUGAAGUGACUUUAUCAUGACUUUAAGAUAUGCAAGAUUACAGUGGUUGCUUUUUUAAAUGUUUUCAGGAAGUGCAAAAAACUUCCUUAUUUGACAAGAAACAGCUUUUUCAACCGUAACAUAUGUUAAAACACAUUAGAUGGACUUUUACAAAGAAAAUUGUUAAUUAUGUCAAGAGUUAUAUAGAUCCUAGCUAUAUGACUUAUUUUUACUUUCAACUGUAUUGCAUGACUUUUGUAAGUUUGAGCAGUUGAGUUAUUAACCACAAAAAUAUUGUAAGUGACUUCCUAGUUUUUGGCAAGCUGAUCUAUUCCAUCUGUAUUCUUGAAGUUUACUGCUUAAGAGUAAUAAUUAAAACUGGAAAUGAUGCUUUUCUAACUUUUACUUUUGAAAAUUUUGAGCAAUUUUUUUCGUAAACUGAAGAAUCUGGAAACUACAUGAUACAUUAUUUAUUAUUACAUAAUUCCUUUUAUUAUAUACCUGUAUAAAUUCUGUCAAACUUACAGCUUGUAUUUUACAAUUAAAUAUGAACAGGCAGAAAAAAAUCCUUAUUGUCCUUUUUGUAUUGCAUGUUGCUGGACUACUUUCAUUUAAUAUGCAUGACCUGACACAUUUCUAUAGAUAGCGCACAUAGAAACUAUACUCUGUUCUUUUUUAACAUAGAUAAACUGUUAAAACAUUGAGGAUUUUGUUCGAUAACAAAAGGUGGAGGUAUAUAAUAAAAGGGUCAUUGUAACUGUAGCUAGAUCUGGAAUUUGUAUUUGGCUCUCAUGGAUUCUUCCAAGUUUGAUGGCACUUAGCGCUUGUGUGCACCUCGUGUUAUUCGACUUGGCAAAAUUCCCUCAAGCCGAAUACUGCAUCCAAGAUCAAGCUACUGUUUUAAUAACCCUAUUGUAUAAAUUGCUGGUCCAUAGUUUGUGCUGUUGGCCAGUCUAUAUAUAGUUCAACACUAAAGUUUGCUUGGCUAAAGUCAAAAUUAGUUGUAUAAUACCACUGCAGUAUGAAUGGUUUAUAAUCAAACAUGUUUUUACUGAUAAAUAAGUCAAACAUUUAAAAAUGGAAGUGUGAAAAUUAAUUUCUUAUGCUGUAUAAUAAAGCACUUAUUGAAUGACUUGCCAAUCAAUAGUCAAAACUUUUGGACCUCAGACAAUAGUUUGGACUAUUGACUAGCAAGUAAUUCAUUGGGUAUGUACCAUUGACCUUUGGUCCUCAGACAAUAGUUUGGACUAUUGACUAGCAAGUAAUUCAAUGGGUAUGUACCAUUGACCUUUGGUCCUCAGACAAUAGUUUGGACUAUUGACUAGCAAGUAAUUCAAUGAGUAUGUACCAUUGACCUUUGGACAUCAGACAAUAGUUUGGACUAUUGUUAAGCAAGUUAUUCAUUGGGUAUGUACCAUUGACCUUUGGACCUCAGACAAUAGUUUAGACUAUUGACUAGCAAGUAAUUCAAUGGGUAUGUACCAUUGACCUUUGGACAUCAGACAAUAGUUUGGACUAUUGUCUAGCAAGUAAUUCAGUGGGUAUGUACCAUUGACCUUUGGUCCUCUGGCAAUAGUUUGGACUAUUGACUAACAAGUAAUUCAGUGAGUAUGUACCAUUGACCUUUAGUCCUCUGGCAAUAGUUUGGACUAUUGACUAGCAAGUAAUUCAGUGGGUAUGUACCAUUGACCUUUGGACCUCAGACAGUAGUUUGGACUAUUGACUAGCAAGUAAUUCAGUGGGUAUGUACCAUUGACCUUUGGACAUCAGACAACAGUUUUGUGACUAUUGACUAGCAAGUAAUUCAGUGGGUAUGUACCAUUGACCUUUGGACCUCAGACAAUAGUUUGGACUAUUGACUAGCAAGUAAUUCACUGGGUAUGUACCAUUGACCUUUGGACCUCAGACAAAAGUUUGGACUAUUGACUAGCAAGUAAUUCACUGGGUAUGUACCAUUGACCUUUGGACCUCAGACAAUAGUUUGGACUAUUGACUAGCAAGUAAUUCAAUGAGUAUGUACCAUUGACCUUUAGACCUCAGACAAUAGUUUGGACUAUGGACUAGUAAGUAAUUCACUGGGUAUGUACCAUUGACCUUUGGAUCUCAGACAAUAGUUUGGACUAUUGUCUAGCAAGUAAUUCAGUGGGUAUGUACCAUUGACCUUUGGUCCUCUGGCAAUAGUUUGGACUAUCGACUAGCAAGUAAUUCAAUGGGAAUGUACCAUUGACCUUCGGUCCUCUGAAAAUAGUUUGGACUAUCGACUAGCAAGUAAUUCAAUGGGAAUGUACCAUUGACCUUCGGUCCUCUGAAAAUAGUUUGGACUAUCGACUAGCAAGUAAUUCAGUGGGUCUGUACCAUUGACCUUUGGUCCUCUGGCAAUAGUUUGGACUACUGACUAGCAAGUAAUUCAGUGGGUAUGUAUCAUUGACCUUUGGUCCUCUGAAAAUAGUUUGGACUAUUGACUAGCAAGUAAUUCAGUGGGUAUGUACCAUUGACCUUUGGACCUCAGACAAUAGUUUGGACUAUUGACUAGCAAGUAAUUCAGUGGGUAUGUACCAUUGACCUUUGGACCUCAGACAAUAGUUUGGACUAUUGACUAGAAAGUAAUUCACUGGGUAUGUACCAUUGACCUUUGGACCUCAGACAAUAGUUUGGACUAUUGACUAGCAAGUAAUUCAGUGGGUAUGUACCAUUGACCUUUAGACCUCAGACAAUAGUUUGGACUAUGGACUAGUAAGUAAUUCACUGGGUAUGUACCAUUGACCUUUAGACCUCAGACAAUAGUUUGGACUAUCGACUAGCAAGUAAUUCAAUGGGAAUGUACCAUUGACCUUUGGUCCUCUGAAAAAAGUUUGGACUAUUGACUAGCAAGUAAUUCAGUGGGUCUGUACCAUUGACCUUUGGUCCUCUGGCAAUAGUUUGGACUAUUGACUAGCAAGUAAUUCAAUGGGUAUGUACCAUUGACCUUUGGUCCUCUGGCAAUAGUUUGGACUAUUGACUAGCAAGUAAUUCAGUGAGUAUGUACCAUUGACCUUUAGUCCUCUGGCAAUAGUUUGGACUAUUGACUAGCAAGUAAUUCAGUGGGUAUGUACCAUUGACCUUUGGACCUCAGACAAUAGUUUGGACUAUUGACUAGCAAGUAAUUCAGUGGGUAUGUACCAUUGACCUUUGGACAUCAGACAAUAGUUUUGUGACUAUUGACUAGCAAGUAAUUCAGUGGGUAUGUACCAUUGACCUUUGGACCUCAGACAAUAGUUUGGACUAUUGACUAGCAAGUAAUUCACUGGGUAUGUACCAUUGACCUUUGGACCUCAGACAAUAGUUUGGACUAUUGACUAGCAAGUAAUUCACUGGGUAUGUACCAUUGACCUUUAGACCUCAGACAAUAGUUUGGACUAUGGACUAGUAAGUAAUUCACUGGGUAUGUACCAUUGACCUUUGGACCUAAGACAAUAGUUUGGACUAUUGUCUAGCAAGUAAUUCAGUGGGUAUGUACCAUUGACCUUUGGUCCUCUGGCAAUAGUUUGGACUAUCGACUAGCAAGUAAUUCAAUGGGAAUGUACCAUUGACCUUUGGUCCUCUGAAAAUAGUUUGGACUAUCGACUAGCAAGUAAUUCAAUGGGAAUGUACCAUUGACCUUUGGUCCUCUGAAAAUAGUUUGGACUAUUGACUAGCAAGUAAUUCAGUGGGUCUGUACCAUUGACCUUUGGUCCUCUGGCAAUAGUUUGGACUAUUGACUAGCAAGUAAUUCAGUGGGUCUGUACCAUUGACCUUUGGUCCUCUGGCAAUAGUUUGAACUAUUGACUAGCAAGUAAUUCAAUGGGUAUGUAUCAUUGACCUUUGGUCCUCUGAAAAUAGUUUGGACUAUUGACUAGCAAGUAAUUCAAUGGGUAUGUACCAUUGACCUUUGGACCUCAGACAAUAGUUUGGACUAUUGACUAGCAAGUAAUUCACUGGGUAUGUACCAUUGACCUUUGGACCUCAGACAAUAGUUUGAACUAUUGACUAGCAAGUAAUUCACUGGGUAUGUACCAUUGACCUUUGGACCUCACACAAUAGUUUGGACUAUUGACUAGCAAGUAAUUCAGUGGGUAUGUACCAUUGACCUUUAGACCUCAGACAAUAGUUUGGACUAUGGACUAGUAAGUAAUUCACUGGGUAUGUACCAUUGACCUUUGGACCUCAGACAAUAGUUUGGACUAUUGUCUAGCAAGUAAUUCAGUGGGUAUGUACCAUUGACCUUUGGUCCUCUGGCAAUAGUUUGGACUAUCGACUAGCAAGUAAUUCAAUGGGAAUGUACCAUUGACCUUUGGUCCUCUGAAAAAAGUUUGGACUAUUGACUAGCAAGUAAUUCAGUGGGUCUGUACCAUUGACCUUUGGUCCUCUGGCAAUAGUUUGGACUAUUGACUAGCAAGUAAUUCAAUGGGUAUGUACCAUUGAACUUUGGCCCUCUGACAAUAGUUUGGACUAUUGACUAGCAAGUCUUUCAAUGGGUAUGUACCAUUGACCUUUGGCCCUCUGACAAUAGUCUGGACUAUUGACUAGCAAGUCAUUCAAUGGGUAUAUAUUAUUGACUUUUGGUCCUCUGGCAAAACUGUACAUGUAUCAACUUAAGUGGCCAAUGGUUAAAAUUAUACAGCCAAAUAAAUCACUAUAGAGCCUCAUCAGAUAACUAUUGAUGGAGACAAAGGCAUUGGUAAUAGGAUACUGAUGGUGGUCAAUAGUCAUUUUCCAAGGUUGAAUAAUUUAAACCCAAUGACCAAUUUAAAGGUAAUUAGUUGUUUUAUUAUAUUGAACAAGAGUAGAAAGAAUUACAAAGGAAGAACAUUUAAUGUUGUUCAGUGCCAACUUGAUAUUUUGCAUGUUGCAGUUACGUUAUUUCCAUUAUUGUUUGGGGUUUCCAGGCAGUAUGUUGGUAAAAUUAAAGGUAGAAUUAUUAUAAUAAGGUCGUUGGUUGCAUUUGCUUAGAUUGCCAGAGCACAAAAAGUUCCCAAUGAGCCAUUAUGUUCAACCUGUGUCUGUAGUCUGUCAUCAUUGUCUGUCAUCAACAAUUUAACUAGAGGUCACAAUUUUGUCCAGAUCUUAAUGAAAAUGGAUAAGAAUGCUAACCGUCAAUAAAAUCUGGACAAGGGGCAUUGAGUAUGAAACACUAGGUCAUGAAGUCAACUAAUUUGAAAACUUUGCUAACACUCUAGAGGCCACAUUUCCUACACCCUACUCAUAAAACUUUGUCAGAAUAUUUGCAUGGUCAUGCCACAUUCUUUACUUGAUUUUCAUAAAGCUUUGUCAGAAUGUUUGCAUGGUCAUGCCACAUUCUUUACUUGAUUUUCAUAAAGCUUUGUCAGAAUGUUUGCAUGGUCAUGCCACAUUCUUUACUUGAUUUUCAUAAAGCUUUGUCAUAAUGUUUGCAUGGUCAUGCCACAUUCUUUACUUGAUUUUCAUAAAGCUUUGUCAUAAUGUUUGCAUGGUCAUGCCACAUUCUUUACUUGAUUUUCAUAAAGCUUUGUCAGAAUAUCAAUAUGAAGUUUAGAUCAGGUUCAAAACUUGGUUUCCAGAUGUCAGAAACUAAGUUAAUAAGUUAAAUCAUAGAAAAACCUCAUUGACACUCUAGAGGCUGCAUUUUCUGCUUGAUCAUCAUAAAUCGUAAAAGAGAGGUUGAAAACUAGGUCAUUAGGUAAAAUUAGAGAAAAAGUUUUUUACACUAAGUCUUGGGAGGUCUCAUUUUCUAUUUGAUCUUCCUGAAACUUUCUCAGAACAUUUGUCACUAGGAAAUCUAAGUCGUGUUUGAAACUGAAUAAUCUAGGUCAAAACUAGCUCACUAGUUUUUCUUGAUUUAUCACGGGGCUAGUUUUCCCUGGAUGGCUAUAUAGGAAACUUUGAAAAUCUUCUACUCUGAAACAGCUGGCCUGAUUUUGCAAUAAUUUUACAGCAAUAUUCCUUGGGUGACCCUCUACCCAGUUCUCUCGUUAUGGUGAAUUUUCUAAAAUCAUGACUGGCAGGGCCUAGCUAAUUUUCUUUCUUUGGCAUAUUUUCUAAAAUCUUCUCAGAAAUUGCUGGCCAAAUUUUGAAGUAAUUUCACAGAAAUGUUUCUUGGGUGACUCUUUACCAAAAUUGUUCAGUUUAGCUGUGAGACUCAAGUGGGAAAUCUAGGGCCAUCAGUGUCCAAUGUGUUAAUUGAAAAAAACCAUUUUUAUCUAAAUUCAUAAAUGUUUACAUAUGCUCAAUCUAUAUUUCAUUCCUACAUUUGACUAGUUGGAAAAAACAACGGAAGUAUGGACUAUUGACUUGUUUCCCAGAUAAAUCUUGGGGUGAAAACAAAACACUGACCAGACCACAGACUACUGACCAGUCAGUUAACAGACCAGGGGGUACAAUCUACAGACCACUGGUUUGCAGACCAGGUUAGAUAACAAGUAUGGUAGACUAAUAAAAGAACUUCUUCUAAUGGAGAUGAAAACAUCUGUUUAGAUAACCUUGUUAAAACAUUUUUUUGACUAGUACCAUAGAUUGUUCUGUUGUAUGUUAAAUUUUUAUUGGUUAAUUUGAUUGCUAUUAUGCAAUUCAAGGUGGAUUUUAGUCAGUAAUAUAGAUUUUGAAGAGGAUAAUUAACAAAAAAAAAACUAAGUACUAAAUGAAUGGCGCUUGAAAAAAGAAAAUGGACAUCAAAACCUGAAGGGCUUGAUAAGAUUUCAUGUAUGUUAAAACUACUCCGUGAAUAUCUACAUUUACAUGGACUUCGACACUUUGGGUUGAAAAUAACAAAACAAAUAAAACCCAGUUUAAUAUUUGUUAAACUGCACAGCAUGGGAGAAUAUUCCACAUACACUUUCCGAAACACUUUUGUAUUACAACAUUACAAAAAAAAAUUCAGUUUUGUUACUGUUUUUGUGAGCUGCCUUGAAUGACAUAUAUUUUGCCAAGAGAAAAAUUAGGCUUUUUGAAAAGCCACUAAAAUGAAUAUAUAUAUCAAACCUUGAAUUUGAAAAAGAAGGUCAGUAAUGAAUGAAAACCAUUUUACUACAUUCUGUCUGCAUAAACCAAAUACCCACAUGCUGAUUCUUAAUACACUAUGACUGUAAUCCGAUUAAUCAGCAUGUUGAUAUAUGGUCUAUGCAGAAAAUUGCUAUCAUACUGCUUGUCAUUAACCUAAUUAAUUGUAAUUAUGGCUUAUUAGCAUAAUUAUGGCUGUGAACUAAGCAACUUUUAUGAUUUGAUACUUAAAUGUAAAAUAAAUAAAUAAAUGAAAGGGGUCAAUCUUUGUAAAUAUUUUUGACAAGCAACAUGGCUGGUUAUGUAGAAAAUGUUUGAAUGAUAAUAUCUAUUUUGCCCCAUUUUUGACUAGAAGUUUGGUUGUUGAAGUUUUGCAAGCAAAUUGUCAGCUUUGCUGUUUCAAAAUUUUUAAUCUGUAUCAAAUUGUUACAAGAGCUGUUUAAAGGUCCAAUACUAAGGAAAGUGAACAUUUUAAUUUCUUUUAAAAAGCACAGAAACUAUUUCAUUUUAUUGGAAAAUGAAAGUUGGUAUGUAGAAAUUCGAAAUAAAUCGCAGUAUAUGUACAAUUAUUUUUCUAUGAAGUAUGAAGAAAGUUAAAAAGACCUGGGGGGUCAUUCUGUCGAUUCAUUGAAAUUUCAACAUAAUACACAUACAUUUCUUUGAGUUCCAAAGACCUUCUGUAAAUUUUGACCUGCCAAUUUUCAUUAUUUAGUGUCUUGCAGAAGUCUAUGCACUGGCUAUGAAAAAAAUUGCCAACUCACUUUCCCUUAGUAAUGGACCUUUAAUUAUUAAGACAUCUAACCACUACUAUUCAAAUUCUUGUCCUAGAUGCAGGAAUACUACCCUAAUUGUUAAAAUAUCUAUGAAGUUUCAAUCCUAUAGCUGCACUAGUUUUAACUUGCAUGCAAAACUAUAAUUAACCUACAUUUUAUAAGUCCAAUAUGGGGCAUAAUUUGUCCGAAAUAAAUGUCAAAGUCAUGGAAUUUGAUCGCGAACGACAAGAAGAAGAAUGGAAUUUGAUGUGUGAUGACCUAGUUUUAUAACCCCAAAGACACGUGAAGUUUCACUUCCAAUUCAAUAUCUGCAUUACUUUUUGAAUGUACCACAGGCGGCAUAAUUUUACCAAAAUACAUAUCAAGAGUUAUGGGACUUGAUCCUGUGAGGUUGGUUAUUGACCUACAACAAGAACAAAUAAGUUUCAAUGCUAUAUGCCUUUAAAUGAUUAUACAUACUUGCAUGCAAAACAUGAACCAAGGUGUGAUGUUCAUCAGAUGCCACCAAGGUGAGUACAAUAGCUCGGACUAUUCUUCAACUAGCUCAAGUUACACAAGUAUUACCAUGCAAAAGCCCUUAUUUGACUAAGAAGCAACCAAAUGGUCAAUCAUUGGCAGUCUUGCAGGAAGCUCUUGUUUAGAAACAUUUUUUCUUCUUAAAAUUCUACAUUAAAUGAGGAAAGAAUAACAAAUUCAAGGGCUGACAGUUACAAUAGUUUCGCGCUCAUCCAAUGCUGAAUAAAGUCGUUUUUACUGCAUGGCUGUUUCAAUUAAUGUUUCCCAGACAGAAACGGUGAUUUUUAUGAGUGCCUAAGUAAUCCUUAUGGAUUGCUUUUUACAUUUAACUUGAUUUUACCAAUACUAACACUUGUCAUGCUGGACACAAUUACAUGUAGUUAGAUGCCUUUGCAACCAGUGCAGAUCACAGUCAGACUGCACUAAUGUGCCGGCUGACCAUGAUCUGCACUGUUUGACAUCUGUGCAGUCUGACCAUGAUCUGCACUGUUUGCUAUUCAGUCAGUAUCUUUUUGGUAAGCACCCCCUGAAACAGUUAAUGGCACUGUUCAAACUGAAGAUGGACAAGUUCAUUAUAAAAAUUUAGUAUGAUAAGGGCUAAGACAUAAAAGCACUACAGGACUUAUGUAACAGAAAUAAUACACAAGGAGGCACCUUAGGUCUUCCUCUACCAUCAAAGCUUCAAGGUCGACAUAUGACCUAUGACUGUGCAAUGUAAAAAGCUAAUAGAAAAGGAAAUGUAAUAAUUAGACUUUUCCAAUUUUCUGUAAGCUUUGGGUUGUAAAUAACAGUGACGGGUAUAACAUCAACCAGACGAAAUGAUGACCAUGAUCAACCAUAGUCAUCAUAGUUUUUGAUGGUAAAACAUGGUUAGGACCACCAUCAGUCAUGGUCGACUAUGGUGAGAUAAGAUUAGCCAUAGUUGACCAUUUUCAGAACAGACGAUUGGUAGUUCGACCAUAGUCUACCAUAGUCAACUUUUUUCAACCAUGGUUGACCAUGGACUACUAUGGUGUCAUGUUAGUGAUUUUUACACUUUACUAUUUAGUGAGAAAUUUUCCAUUAAUUACAAGUCCAAAAAUUUAUUAGUAACUACAUAUUUUAAGAUAUCCAAAGACCAUCUUUCACUAAAAAAUUUUAUUGAUAUAUAUUAACUCAUUAUGUAUAAAAUUCUGAUAAAAAAAAAUUAGUUAAAGUUGCAAAUAGAGCUACAUUCAUUAUGAAAUGUCAUACAGUAAUAGUUGAUUGUUAAAAAUUUAGCAGUAGGCCUAGUACACUUCUAUACUGUUAAGUACUGUUUUAAUUAAAUCUAAAUGCACAGUACUGUUAAUAGAUAUAAAC